rnacentral:lncRNA from 1 species
UCUGUCCACAAGUUAGUGAAGCAGUUACAUUGUAUAGUUAUGUUCACUGAACAUUCAUGCUUACUACACAUGAUACAGGACCCUUCUCUGAGGAGGCCUGUGGAUCUUGGUAGAGAAGCUGCUGGCUUAUAUAAACUGGCUUGGGUUCCUCCUUCCACUUCUUCCUCUAUUAGUUGUUCCCCUACUUCUGUUUGUUCUGUGUCUGCUUCUUGUAAUGAUGACAUUUUGUCUGAUAGCAAGGCUGUUCCAUUGCCUUCUGUGUCUGCUUCUUGUAAUGAUGACAUUUUGUCUGAUAGCGAGGCUGUUCCAUUGCCUUCACAUGUAUAUAGUUCCAUUUGCAAUAAUGUUGUUACAACUGACCUGAAUUACAUUUGCCAUUUAAGACUUGCUCAUACUCCAUUUACAAAUAUGAGACAUAUUUCUGGUUUGUCUUUUCCAGAUGACUGUUUGUUACUGGCACUUACCUUCUUAACAGAAUACCAACCAGAUUGCUUCAUAAUAAAUCUCCUCAUGAAAUUUUGUAUGGGAAAGCUCCAACCUAUUCACAUUUGAGAAUAUUUGGAUGCCUUGCCUAUGCUACUGUACCAAUCCCUCAAAGGGACAAGUUAAAGCCAAGAAUCAUUCCUUGUGUUUUCCUGGGUUAUCCUUUUGCUAAGAAGGGUUAUAAAUUUAUGAUCUUGCUUCAAAGAAAUGUUUGGUUUCCAGGGAUGUUAUAUUUCAUGAAUCCUCUUUUCCUUUUAAAACUGUAUCUUCUUCUGCUCAUCCUCCUGCUUUAUCCUUUCCUUUUGUUCCACCUGUAGAACAUUGUGAUGACCCUGAUUCUCCCAUUCCAAUCUCCUCUCCUCUUUCUCCUACAUCUGUGUUAGUACCUCCUCAUACUGUUCCAAACUCUGCUAACUCUGGCUUAACUCCUUUUUUUAAUCCCGAUAUCUCCCCUCCUGUUUUAGCCUCUCCUCCCUACUGACUCUGCCUUAACUCCUUUUUUUAAUCCUGAUAUCUCCCCUCCUGUUUUAACCUCUCCUCCUUCUGUUCCUGCUCCCAGAAAGUCUCAAAUACAACAUAAUCCUCCAUCUUAUCCUAAGGAUUAUGUGUAUCAACUGCCUGCCUUUUCUGGUUCAUCUUCCUCCUCUUUGGAAUCUGAACCUCUAUAUUACUCUCAAGAUGCAUCUGUUCCAGCAUGGCAGGAUGCCAUGAGAAAGGAGUUUGAUGCUUGGGACACAAACCAUACUUGGGAUGUUGUUCCUCUUCCCCCUGGUAAGAAACCCAUUGGAUGUAAAUGGGUUUAUAAAAUCAAAU